GACGAACGCUGGCGGCGUGCUUAACACAUGCAAGUCGAACGGAAAGGCCCUGCUUUUGUGGGGUGCUCGAGUGGCGAACGGGUGAGUAACACGUGAGUAACCUGCCCUUGACUUUGGGAUAACUUCAGGAAACUGGGGCUAAUACCGGAUAGGAGCUCCUGCUGCAUGGUGGGGGUUGGAAAGUUUCGGCGGUUGGGGAUGGACUCGCGGCUUAUCAGCUUGUUGGUGGGGUAGUGGCUUACCAAGGCUUUGACGGGUAGCCGGCCUGAGAGGGUGACCGGCCACAUUGGGACUGAGAUACGGCCCAGACUCCUACGGGAGGCAGCAGUGGGGAAUAUUGCACAAAGGGCGAAAGCCUGACGGAGCAACGCCGCGUGAGUGAAGAAGGAUUUCGGUUCGUAAAGCUCUGUUGUUAGGGAAGAAUGAUUGUGUAGUAACUAUACACAGUAGAGACGGUACCUAACCAGAAAGCCACGGCUAACUACGUG
rnacentral:rRNA from 1 species